rnacentral:rRNA from 1 species
GGGCCUGCACAAGCGGUGGAGUAUGUGGCUUAAUUCGAUGCAACGCGAAGAACCUUACCUGGCCUUGACAUGCAUCUCUAAGCGUGUGAAAGCACGUGACCCCUCGGGGAAUUUGCACAGGUGCUGCAUGGCUGUCGUCAGCUCGUGUCGUGAGAUGUUGGGUUAAGUCCCGCAACGAGCGCAACCCUUGUGUCCUGUUGCCACUUCCGCUAGCGCGGAAAGCACUCUGGACAGACUGCCUCGUCUCAACCGAGGAGGAAGGUGGGGAUGACGUCAAGUCAGUAUGGCCCUUACGGCCAGGGCUGCACACGUACUACAAUGCUACGGACAAAGGGCAGCAAGUUCGCGAGGAC